rnacentral:rRNA from 1 species
CUUGGUCAUUUAGAGGAAGUAAAAGUCGUAACAAGGUUUCCGUAGGUGAACCUGCGGAAGGAUCAUUAGAGAAUCAGAGCGGGCUUGAGUCCCGUAUCUCACUCUAUAACACACUGUGAACUGUUUCGGUCGGUCGAGGUAAAACUCGGUCGGGGGCGCCGCAAUUGAAUUUGCCACCCAAAUUAUCUUUUUAAACACCAAGUUAUGGAUGUCAACACCGCAGGGUGUAUUAUAAAAAGUUAAACAACUUUCAGCAACGGAUCUCUAGGCUCUCGCAUCGAUGAAGAACGCAGCGAAAUGCGAUACGUAAUGUGAAUUGCAGAAUUCAGUGAAUCAUCGAAUCUUUGAACGCAUCUUGCGCUCCGGGGUAUUCCUCGGAGCAUGCCUGUUUGAGUGUCGUGGAAAUCUCAACCCCGCCGGGUUUUUAUUCGGYAGAUGGGCUUUGGAUCGUGACUGUUUGCUGGCCUUGUAAUGAGACCCAGCUCGGUCGAAAUACAAGAGUGGCUGAUUCCCAAUCCGGCCUGACUCGGCGUGAUAAUCACACUUCGCCGAUUACGGAUGGGGUGAUAAAGGCUGCUUCCAAGAUAUAUUACUUUUGAACUAGACCUCAAAUCAGGUAGGACUACCCGCUGAACUUAAGCAUAUCAAUAAGCGGAGGA